GGCCAGACUCCUACGGGAGGCAGCAGUGGGGAAUAUUGCACAAUGGGGGAAACCCUGAUGCAGCGACGCCGCGUGAGUGAAGAAGUAUUUCGGUAUGUAAAGCUCUAUCAGCAGGGAAGAAAAUGACGGUACCUGACUAAGAAGCCCCGGCUAACUACGUGCCAGCAGCCGCGGUAAUACGUAGGGGGCAAGCGUUAUCCGGAUUUACUGGGUGUAAAGGGGGCGCAGACGGCAGCGCAAGCCAGGAGUGAAAGCCCGGGGCCCAACCCCGGGACUGCUCUUGGAACUGCGCGGCUGGAGUGCAGGAGGGGCAGGCGGAAUUCCUGGUGUAGCGGUGAAAUGCGUAGAUAUCAGGAGGAACACCGGUGGCGAAGGCGGCCUGCUGGACUGCGACUGACGUUGAGGCCCGAAAGCGUGGGGAGCAAACAGGAUUAGAUACCCCGGUAAG
rnacentral:rRNA from 1 species